GGUAAAAAGCCAAUGCCCACCAAACAUUGAGGGAGUGGAGUCUUCAUUCCUCUGAAGAAGUGUGCAGUGUUGGGAAGAACACAGAAUGAAGCUGAAGUUGCAAACACUUAAGAGGCUAAUCCGGACCAUGCAGUGUUCGGAAAGAACUGUAGAGGCAGUAGAUUCACCCCGCUCUUUAUCCCUUUGGUUGGAGGCACAAGAUAAUCUGGCAGAAGUGGAUGUGACUGAAUAACCAAUCACUGAAGAAUGGAAGGUAUAGGAAGGCGGGAUGUUGGGUAGAACCAGCUGUUCUGUGUCGUGGUUCUCUUAUAGAGCUAAAAACUGCAGACCAGACUACUGAGAGUGGUGGGUGGCAUUGAGAGACCCAGAAAACUUAGGAGAAAGGGUCCUCAACCCUUUGGAGAAAAUAAAGAGAAAAACUACAAAAUUGGGUGGAACUUUCUCUUCUGGUAUAUACAGAAACAUUUUUAGCACUUUAUAAAGUGUUAUUUAGUUGAUACACAUAUAUGUGCGUAUGAAAUUUAAUGUUGCCAUGUGAAAAUUGCCAUUUUGCUCCAUGAAAAUUGGCACUCUUUUCCAGGACAAAAUACAGCCUGAGUGUAUACUCAAACAGGCUAAAGGAAAUGACUGCUUAAAUAGCGAUACAACAGAUGAAAGUCUUGUGUAUGAAGGCCCUGCAGAGAUGACAUGAACAAGACAACUGUGACCCGUGUCUAAAUGGAUUUACAGUAGAACCUGAGUUACAAACUAACCGGUCAACCACACACCUCAUUUGGAACCAGAAGUACGCAGUCAGGCAGCAGCAGAGAGGGGGAAAAAAGGC